CCCCUCUCAAGAUCAGAUCUGGAGAGUGUCUAGUACUCUACUGGUUACGACUAUGGGAGGGAGAGUCCAGCAGAGGCAUACCCAUGCCAUUCCUAGCUUGGCCAGUGGCUAGCAAGUGGAAGGCAAUCUGCUACACGU